rnacentral:rRNA from 1 species
GAUGAACGCUGGCGGCGUGCCUAAUACAUGCAAGUCGAGCGAACGGACGAGAAGCUUGCUUCUCUGAUGUUAGCGGCGGACGGGUGAGUAACACGUGGAUAACCUACCUAUAAGACUGGGAUAACUUCGGGAAACCGGAGCUAAUACCGGAUGAUAUUUUGAACCGCAUGGUUCAAAAGUGAAAGACGGUCUUGCUGUCACUUAUAGAUGGAUCCGCGCUGCAUUAGCUAGUUGGUAAGGUAACGGCUUACCAAGGCAACGAUGCAUAGCCGACCUGAGAGGGUGAUCGGCCACACUGGAACUGAGCCACGGUCCAGACUCCUACGGGAGGCAGCAGUAGGGAAUCGUCCGCAAUGGGCGAAAGCCUGACGGAGCAACGCCGCGUGAGUGAUGAAGGUCUUCGGAUCGUAAAACUCUGUUAUUAGGGAAGAACAUAUGUGUAAGUAACUGUGCACAUCUUGACGGUACCUAAUCAGAAAGCCACGGCUAACUACGUG